rfam:Salmo salar isolate Sally breed double haploid chromosome ssa03, whole genome shotgun sequence.
UGUGAAUUAUUUUGUAAGUCGCUCUGGAUAAGAGCGUCUGCUAAAUGACUUAAA